UGGUGGAGUGAUUUGUCUGCUUAAUUGCGAUAACGAACGAGACCUUAACCUGCUAAAUAGCCAGGCUAGCUUUGGCUGGUCGCCGGCUUCUUAGAGGGACUAUCGGGUUCUAAACCGAUGGAAGUUUGAGGCAAUAACA
rnacentral:rRNA from 1 species